GAACAAAUAAUUUUGUUAAAAACAAGGUUUGGUUUCGACCAUAUAACCAUUAGUAAAUAUGGCCCUUCUAGAUUACAUCUCAUCAGACAAAUUGAAGUAUGUUUGGAUCUCGAUGACCACCUUGAUGACAUCAGCAAGUAAGAGUGUUAUAAUAUAAUCGGACUGAACUCUCUAAUAUCCCCAUUCUUUCUAAAAGUCACAUGCUUUUCUGCUUUUGCUCAUCUAUUGAUAGGGACUGGGUGAAUAUAAUGCUCUUCAAUUGAACUUUCUGUGUGGAAUUGGCUAUUGUCCUGUUGGUGCCCUCUCAUGGGAGGUGAAAACAACUUCAGGAAAACUGGUGCUCAUUUCAAGACUUCUCACAUGGACAUAUCUGCUAUCUCACCUUAGACCAAGUAUUAGAUUGUGGUUUGUGAUUCUGCUGGUGUUGUGACAACAUUUUAUAUGUGCUCGGAAGUUGAUGCAGCGCCGUUGAGAGAUGAGAUAGAUUUUGAAUUCUUGGGAAACAGAAUAGGAUUGCUUUAUCUUAUUCAAAAGCUAGAGCCCUAUUUUUGUAGACAUGAUCAAAUUAAUAAAACAAAUCAUGUUGUAUCCUCUUUUAUCUUCUAUUUGCUGUUGUAUUGGUUUACAUUUAUGGUUCAGUAUACAAGACUAGACACUUGUGCUA